CCUCGGCUUUACAGAUAUAUAU
rnacentral:miRNA from 1 species